rnacentral:ncRNA from 1 species
AUUUAUAAGAAUAUGAUGUUGGUUCAGAUUAAGCGCUAAAUAAGGACAUGACACAUGCGAAUCAUACGUUUAUUAUUGAUAAGAUAAUAAAUAUGUGGUGUAAACGUGAGUAAUUUUAUUAGGAAUUAAUGAACUAUAGAAUAAGCUAAAUACUUAAUAUAUUAUUAUAUAAAAAUAAUUUAUAUAAUAAAAAGGAUAUAUAUAUAAUAUAUAUUUAUCUAUAGUCAAGCCAAUAAUGGUUUAGGUAGUAGGUUUAUUAAGAGUUAAACCUAGCCAACGAUCCAUAAUCGAUAAUGAAAGUUAGAACGAUCACGUUGACUCUGAAAUAUAGUCAAUAUCUAUAAGAUACAGCAGUGAGGAAUAUUGGACAAUGAUCGAAAGAUUGAUCCAGUUACUUAUUAGGAUGAUAUAUAAAAAUAUUUUAUUUUAUUUAUAAAUAUUUAAUAUUUAUAAUAAUAAUAAUAAUAAUAUAUAUAUAUAAAUUGAUUAAAAAUAAAAUCCAUAAAUAAUUAAAAUAAUGAUAUUAAUUACCAUAUAUAUUUUUAUAUGGAUAUAUAUAUUAAUAAUAAAAUUAAUUUAUUAUUAUUAAUAAUAUAUUUUAAUAGUCCUGACUAAUAUUUGUGCCAGCAGUCGCGGUAACACAAAGAGGGCGAGCGUUAAUCAUAAUGGUUUAAAGGAUCCGUAGAAUGAAUUAUAUAUUAUAAUUUAGAGUUAAUAAAAUUAAUUAAAGAAUUAUAAUAGUAAAGAUGAAAUAAUAAUAAUAAUUAUAAGACUAAUAUAUGUGAAAAUAUUAAUUAAAUAUUAACUGACAUUGAGGGAUUAAAACUAGAGUAGCGAAACGGAUUCGAUACCCGUGUAGUUCUAGUAGUAAACUAUGAAUACAAUUAUUUAUAAUAUAUAUUAUAUAUAAAUAAUAAAUGAAAAUGAAAGUAUUCCACCUGAAGAGUACGUUAGCAAUAAUGAAACUCAAAACAAUAGACGGUUACAGACUUAAGCAGUGGAGCAUGUUAUUUAAUUCGAUAAUCCACGACUAACCUUACCAUAUUUUGAAUAUUAUAAUAAUUAUUAUAAUUAUUAUAUUACAGGCGUUACAUUGUUGUCUUUAGUUCGUGCUGCAAAGUUUUAGAUUAAGUUCAUAAACGAACAAAACUCCAUAUAUAUAAUUUUAAUUAUAUAUAAUUUUAUAUUAUUUAUUAAUAUAAAGAAAGGAAUUAAGACAAAUCAUAAUGAUCCUUAUAAUAUGGGUAAUAGACGUGCUAUAAUAAAAUGAUAAUAAAAUUAUAUAAAAUAUAUUUAAUUAUAUUUAAUUAAUAAUAUAAAACAUUUUAAUUUUUAAUAUAUUUUUUUAUUAUAUAUUAAUAUGAAUUAUAAUCUGAAAUUCGAUUAUAUGAAAAAAGAAUUGCUAGUAAUACGUAAAUUAGUAUGUUACGGUGAAUAUUCUAACUGUUUCGCACUAAUCACUCAUCACGCGUUGAAACAUAUUAUUAUCUUAUUAUUUAUAUAAUAUUUUUUAAUAAAUAUUAAUAAUUAUUAAUUUAUAUUUAUUUAUAUCAGAAAUAAUAUGAAUUAAUGCGAAGUUGAAAUACAGUUACCGUAGGGGAACCUGCGGUGGGCUUAUAAAUAUC